GGUUGACCUCGGAUCAGGUAGGGAUACCCGCUGAACUUAAGCAUAUCAAUAAGCGGAGGAAAAGAAACCAACAGGGAUUGCCCCA
rnacentral:rRNA from 1 species